ensembl:lncRNA
CUCGCCUGCAGUUUUGCAGAGAAAGUACUGUUCUGCUCCAGCACCACUACAGCAGGCAGCCUGUGACUCUGCUGAUAAGGGAAUUAAACCAUUUGGAGACAAAUGAUCAAAGUAGAAAGUUUACUAUUUGGUGAUCUCUAUUGCAAUUACUGAUUCAUCUAAAAAACCGGGAUGCACCUUGCUGGGAAGCUUCACUGUAGAAGCCCUGGGGCCUACCUCCUUCACUCAAAGAACAACCUCAGCAUCACUAGAAUCCCCCAACGACAUCCCCGCUUCUUGGUGUGGCCCACUGCGGAGCUCAGACUGCCCCCUGUGAAAUGUUUGUGCAAAAAGGAAUCAAGUCAGGAUUGAGUCAAGCAUUUAGACCUUACUUUGAGUUAAUAGGAAAUAGGAUGGAGGAAGAAUUUAAAUACCAUGAAAAGAAUCAGAACAAUUCAGAACAUGUAGGAUUCUAUAAGACAACUACCUGCUUUUUUAAUAUACAACAAAUAAAAUCUGGAGAAGAAAACCUGAAUGAAAGAAAGAAAGAAAGAAAGAAAGAAAGAAAGAAAGACAGAAAGAUGUAACUAUUAAAUAAGUUGCUGGUUUCUUCAAAGUUCUGAGGUUUUCAUGUGCCGUUUGGAUCAU